rnacentral:misc_RNA from 1 species
GAACGCACCUUGCGCCCUUUGGCUAUUCUGAAGGGCAUGCCUGUUUGAGUAUCAGUAAACACCUCAAAGACUUCAAUUUGUUUUGAAUGGCUUUGGACUUGAGCAAUCCCAACACCAGUCUUUACGAUCGGUGGAGGGUUGCUUGAAAUGCAGGUGCAGCUGGACAUUCUCCUGAGCUAAAAGCAUAUUUAUUUAGUCCCGUCAAACGGAUUAUUACUUUUGCUGCAGCUAACAUAAAGGGAGUUUGACCGUAUUGGCUGACUGAUGCAGGAUUUCACAAGGGUCGGCAACGAUUCUUGUAAAACUCGAUCUCAAAUCAAGUAAGACUACCCGCUGAACUUAAG